GGUGAUGUCACAGGGCUUGUACU
rnacentral:siRNA from 1 species